rnacentral:rRNA from 1 species
CAGCCGCCGCGGUAAUACGAAGGGGGCUAGCGUUGCUCGGAUUUACUUGGCGUAAAGGGCGCGUAGGCGGACAGUUAAGUUGGGGGUGAAAGCCCGGGGCUCAACCUCGGAAUUGCCUUCAAUACUGGCUGUCUUGAGUGUGAGAGAGGUGUGUGGAACUCCGAGUGUAGAGGUGAAAUUCGUAGAUAUUCGGAAGAACACCAGUGGCGAAGGCGACACACUGGCUCACUACUGACGCUGAGGCGCGAAAGCGUGGGGAGCAAACAGGAUUAGAUACCCCUGUAGUCCCUGUCUCUUAUAC